rnacentral:rRNA from 1 species
GAUGAACGCUAGCGACAGGCUUAACACAUGCAAGUCGAGGGGCAGCAUAAAAGUAGCAAUACUUUGGUGGCGACCGGCGCACGGGUGAGUAACGCGUAUGCAACCUACCUAUCAGAGGGGAAUAACCCGGCGAAAGUCGGACUAAUACCGCAUAAAACAGGGGCACCGCAUGGUGAUAUUUGUUAAAGAAAUUCGCUGAUAGAUGGGCAUGCGUUCCAUUAGGUAGUUGGUGAGGUAACGGCUCACCAAGCCGACGAUGGAUAGGGGAACUGAGAGGUUGGUCCCCCACACUGGUACUGAGACACGGACCAGACUCCUACGGGAGGCAGCAGUGAGGAAUAUUGGUCAAUGGGCGGGAGCCUGAACCAGCCAAGUCGCGUGAAGGAAGAAGGAUCUAUGGUUCGUAAACUUCUUUUGCAGGGGAAUAAAGUGCAGGACGUGUCCUGUUUUGUAUGUACCCUGAGAAUAAGGAUCGGCUAACUCCGUGCCAGCAGCCGCGGUAAUACGGAGGAUCCGAGCGUUAUCCGGAUUUAUUGGGUUUAAAGGGUGCGUAGGUGGUUUGAUAAGUCAGCGGUGAAAGUUUGCAGCUUAACUGUAAAAAUGCCGUUGAAACUGUCGGACUUGAGUGUAAAUGAGGUAGGCGGAAUGCGUGGUGUAGCGGUGAAAUGCAUAGAUAUCACGCAGAACUCCGAUUGCGAAGGCAGCUUACUAAGCUACAACUGACACUGAAGCACGAAAGCGUGGGGAUCAAACAGGAUUAGAUACCCUGGUAGUCCACGCAGUAAACGAUGAUUACUAGCUGUUUGCGAUACACAGUAAGCGGCACAGCGAAAGCGUUAAGUAAUCCACCUGGGGAGUACGCCGGCAACGGUGAAACUCAAAGGAGUUGACGGGGGCCCGCACAAGCGGAGGAACAUGUGGUUUAAUUCGAUGAUACGCGAGGAACCUUACCCGGGUUUGAACGUAGGGAGACAGGAGUGGAAACAUUCUUUUCAGCAAUGACUGCCUACGAGGUGCUGCAUGGUUGUCGUCAGCUCGUGCCGUGAGGUGUCGGCUUAAGUGCCAUAACGAGCGCAACCCUUAUUUCCAGUUACUAACAGG